AUGCAAUUAGAGGUUUUCGUAUGAUUUUGCGAAAGGUAUUACUAUUUUAGAUAGCAGCUGUAUUCCAAUAUUAAGUUGUAAUUAUCACGAUCAUGUGGACUCUGGUGAACUUUUUAAGUUAAAAAACCCACUCCCUUACCGAGUGAACUCCUUUGUACUCUUUGGUUUGCGCGUGAUCCUGCCCUGACCCUUGA